CUGUGUUUAACCCGGUAGGAUUGAAGCCGCGUUUUCAAAAACGCAGCUUUAGUUCCAACCUGGAAUUUUUUUUUUUUUUUUUCAAUAUAUCUGAGAGCUGCGUUUAACAAACGCAGCUUCAAAACUUAUAGAGCUGCGUUGUUCUAAACGCAGCUCCAGACAUGUCAAAGCUGCGUUUAGAAGAACGCAGCUCUAGCUGUAUGUGGUAGAGCUGCGUUUAUUUAAACGCAGCUCCAGACUCAUUUAUGCCGCAGCUAUAGCCUUCCUAUAAAUUCAAAAAAACCCCUAAAAUUUCAACCCAAUCAAUCCCUAAAUUGAAAAACACUCAGCUUCUCAACCUAGCUCCCGGUAAUCUCGCCGCCGUGCUCGAUCUCAACCCACAGUUCGCAAUCUCAACAAUGCAGGGUGACCCAGUUGGCCUCUGACUCUGUUGCUUGGACCCACGCUCAGAGAGCUUGACCGCGAAGAACUGGUUCCUGGGCUCCGAGUGGCCAUGAUUUCAGAGAUUCUUUGCAAGGUUGGCGCACCCAGGAGGACCGUUGAGGACGAACAAGGCAGCGGCAUUGGCGAAGUUUCUAGAAACAAAGCUACCCCGAUUUCUCUCGCAUCUCCAACUCCAGCGAUUUCGACAGCGCCUUCACUUGCAUUGUCAUCACCCACUUCCAUUUGGAUCACAUUGGUGCACUUCCUUAC